rnacentral:rRNA from 1 species
UACGAAGGGUGCUAGCGUUGUUCGGAAUUACUGGGCGUAAAGCGUGCGCAGGCGGUCUUCCAAGUCAGUGGUGAAAGCCCGGAGCUCAACUCCGGAAUUGCCAUUGAAACUGUGAGACUUGAGGACGAGAGAGGUGAGUGGAAUUCCCAGUGUAGAGGUGAAAUUCGUAGAUAUUGGGAAGAACACCAGUGGCGAAGGCGGCUCACUGGCUCGUUUCUG